rnacentral:rRNA from 1 species
AGAAUCAACGCUGGCGGCGUGCCUAACACAUGCAAGUCGAACGAGAAAGUGGGAGCAAUCCCACGAGUAAAGUGGCGCACGGGUGAGUAACACGUGACUAACCUACCCUUGAGUGGGGGGAUAACCUAGGGAAAACCUGGGCUAAUACCGCAUAAUACCUACGGGUCAAAGGAGCAAUUCGCUUAAGGAGGGGGUCGCGGCAGAUUAGUUAGUUGGCGGGGUAAUGGCCCACCAAGACAGUGAUCUGUAUCCGGCCUGAGAGGGCGCACGGACACACUGGAACUGAAACACGGUCCAGACUCCUACGGGAGGCAGCAGUGGGGAAUUUUGCGCAAUGGGGGAAACCCUGACGCAGCAACGCCGCGUGGAGGAUGAAGCCCCUUGGGGCGUAAACUCCUUUCGAUCGGGAAGAUAAUGACGGUACCGGAAGAAGAAGCCCCGGCUAACUUCGUGCCCAGCAGCCGC